AAGACUAUACUUUCAGGGAUCAUUUCUAUAGUUCGCUACUAGAGAAGUUUCUCUGAACGUGUAGAGCACCGGAAACCACGAGGAGGAGGCGCAGCGUCGUCCCCUGAGCGUGAAGCCGGCUCUUGGUGCCGCCUCGCUGCGGCCGCCAUUUGCCAUUGAUGAUCGUUCUCGUCUCCCUCCGGGGAGCGAGAGGGGGAGGACGCAGUCUGAGUGGU
ensembl:snoRNA U3 Small nucleolar RNA U3